AUUGAACGCUGGCGGCAGGCCUAACACAUGCAAGUCGAGCGGAUGAAGGGAGCUUGCUCCUGGAUUCAGCGGCGGACGGGCGAGUAAUGCCUAGGAAUCUGCCUGGUAGUGGGGGAUAACGUCAGGAAACGGGCGCUAAUACCGCAUACGUCCUGAGGGAGAAAGUGGGGGAUCUUCGGACAUCACGCUAUCAGAUGAGCCUAGGUCGGAUUAGCUAGUUGGUGGGGUAAAGGCCUACCAAGGCGACGAUCCGUAACUGGUCUGAGAGGAUGAUCAGUCACACUGGAACUGAGACACGGUCCAGACUCCUACGGGAGGCAGCAGUGGGGAAUAUUGGACAAUGGGCGAAAGCCUGAUCCAGCCAUGCCGCGUGUGUGAAGAAGGUCUUCGGAUUGUAAAGCACUUUAAGUUGGGAGGAAGGACAGUAAGUGAAUACCUUGCUGUUUUGACGUUACCAACAGAGUAAGCACCGGCUAACUUCGUG
rnacentral:rRNA from 1 species